AUGCAAUUGGACUACGCCAUUGAUAUCCUACCUAAAAACCGGCGUGUUAUCGACGAGAAGGGCGCCGCAAGAAAGUUGAAGGUCCAGGCAUCACGGUUUGUGCUGAUGAAGGACGCCUUACCUAACAUGAUUUUUGGGUUUUCGCCUUAUAGCUUGAUGAAUAUAAUUGGGACACUUUGUGUUUACACUACUAUAUGUAAACAUGAAGGGGUUGCUUUGAAAUUCCCUAGUGCUAAAGCUGCGUGGGAGUGUUAUUAUGUGGCUUCCGUUGCUGAUCUUAUUGCUGAGCAGUAGAUUUGGGCUGCGGUGGAUCCUUAUGCAAGGAAUGAAGCUUUUAAUUGAAACAAUGGGGAUGUGUUUAAGUGGAAGCAUUUUUGGAAGGUUUUGGCUGAGCAAUUUGGGAUUGAGGAGUAUGGGUUUGAGGAGGGUGAGAGAGUGAGUUUGGUUGAAUUGAUGAAGGAUAAGGGUCCUGUGUGGGAUGAGAUUGUGAGGGAGAAUCAGUUGCAGCCUACAAAGUUGGAUGAAGUUGGGGUUUGGUGGUUUGUGGAUUUGAUUUUAGGUGGGGAGGCUUUGUUGGAUAGCAUGAAUAAGAGUAAGGAGCAUGGGUUUUUGGGGUUCAGGAACUCCAAGAACUCCUUCAUUUCUUGGAUUGAUAAGGUGAAAGGGUACAAGAUUGUGCCUUACUAUAUCGUAAACUGGUCGAGCCCCAAAAAGAGUGCGCUAACUGAAUCCUCAAGUGAAAUUGGGCUCCUGUUACUGCUUCUAUCUACAAGCCUCUUAUUAUGGUUCCCAAUACCCAUUUCUUCAUCCAUUUAUUUCUUUACUCACAGUAGUUUCAGAAUGAGCUGGUGGUUGGCUAGGUCUAUUGGAGCUGCAAAGAAGAGAUCUGAUGAAGAUUAUGAAGCACCAGGAAGCUACCGAAGUGUAGGCUUGGUGAUUGGUGUGACUGGCAUCGUGGGCAAUAGCCUAGCUGAAAUCCUACCACUCUUAGAUACCCCAGGCGGGCCUUGGAAAGUCUAUGGUGUGGCACGACGCCCACGCCCAAUUUGGAACAAAGAUUACCCUAUUGAGUACAUCCAAUGCGAUGUCUCUAACCCUAAUGAAACCCAAACCAAGCUUUCCAAACUCACCGAUGUGACCCACAUUUUCUAUGUCACAUGGGCUAGUCGGCCCACUGAAGCCCAAAAUUGUGAAACUAAUGGUACCAUGUUCCGCAAUGUUCUACGUACAGUGAUUCCCCACGCGCUGAACCUCAAACACAUCUGUCUCCAAACAGGUGGCAAACACUAUGUAGGACCAUUUGAAUCCUUUGGCCAAAUCAAAACCCAUACCCCACCUUUUACUGAGGACAUGCCACGUUUGAACGUGUUCAAUUUUUAUUACACUCAAGAAGAUAUUUUGUUAGAGGAAAUUAAGAAUAAAGAGGGGUUGACUUGGUCAGUCCAUAGACCUAAUGUGAUAUUUGGUUUUUCACCAUAUAGUUUGAUGAAUAUUGUUGGUACACUUUGUGUGUACGCAGUUAUAUGUAAGCAUGAGGGAAUUCCUUUGAAGUUCCCUGGAAGCAAAGUGGCUUGGGAGAAUUACUACGUGGCUUCAGAUGCUGAUCUUAUUGCUGAGCAACAAAUUUGGGUUGGGGUGGAACCUGGUGCUAGAAAUGAAGCUUUUAAUUGUAACAAUGGGGAUGUGUUCAAGUGGAGGCAUCUUUGGAAGGUGUUGGCUGAAAAAUUUGGGAUUGAGAAUUAUGGAUUUGAGGAGGGUGAGAAAGUUAGCUUGGUGGAGUUGAUGAAGGAUAAAGGUCCGGUGUGGGAUGAGAUUGUGAGAGAGAAUCAACUACAACCCACUAAGCUGGAGGAGGUUGGUGUGUGGUGGUUUGGGGAUUUGUUGCAUAUGGUAGGGGAUUUUGUUGAUAGUAUGAAUAAGAGUAAGGAGUAUGGAUUCCUGGGGUUUAGGAAUUUUGAGAAAUCGUUGAUUGCUUGGAUAGAUAAGAUGAAAGCUUAUAAGAUUGUGCCUUGAAACAGGGCUGGCUUAGCUCAAUACAACUUGAGGCAUAAGGUAGUAUACCAAAAACUUUAAAUAAAU